AUUGAACGCUGGCGGCAGGCCUAACACAUGCAAGUCGAACGAGUGGCGGACGGGUGAGUAAUGUCUGGGAAACUGUCUGAUGGAGGGGGAAAACUAUUGGAAACGGUCGCUAAUACCGCAUACCCACAGAUGUGCCUAGAUGGGAUUAGCUAGUUGGUGGGCUAACGGCUCACCAAGGCGACGAUCCCUAGCUGGUCUGAGAGGAUGACCAGCCACACUGGAACUGAGACACGGUCCAGACUCCUACGGGAGGAAGCAGUGGGGAAUAUUGCACAAUGGGCGCAAGCCUGAUGCAGCCAUGCCGCGUGUAUGAAGAAGGCCUUCGGGUUGUAAAGUACUUUCAGCGGGGAGGCGUUACCCGCAGAAGAAGCACCGGCUAACUCCGUGCCAGCAGCCGCGGUAAUUC
rnacentral:rRNA from 1 species